GCGAUUCUCUAUCACCGCAGGUCAGGACGAUGAUCGACCCUCACUGGCAAUGAGGGGGUCAGGGGUUCGAGUCCCCUUACUUCGCG
rnacentral:tRNA from 4 species